rnacentral:misc_RNA from 1 species
UUUUUGAAAAAAAUAAUGAGUGGUAGUGUUGAAAAUAGAAAUAAGGAAGGUUUGCAAUCCUAAGUCUGGUAAUUUGAUAAGAUUUUAGUGACUAGUUAUUGCCAACGAAAUAAAUUUCGAGUUGAAUGGUAGUUACUUUUUGUCAAUAGAAGUGCUCGCCGAAGGUGAAAAUAAAGCACGCCUUUCUAGAGCCUUGCGCCUAAAGCGGCGCACGCCUAAGCGCAUAACACAAGAGCCUGGUGAAUGUUGCCCGCCCCUCCUGUAGAGGCGCUAAGGUUAGAGCUGAGUGAGCCUAGAGCCUGAGGCGCGCCUCUUUAAUAAUCAGCCAAAUCAAAGGUUCAUUUCCAGUACACCUAGCCCAUAAGAAAGUCUCAUUUCCACAACUACUCUUGUAGAAGUAAGCUACCUGCCAUUAUACCCUACUUUCUAUGGGGCAACACACUUUUUCACAUUCAUAGUGUUCUAGUUGUAAAAUUAUUAGCUUAGAAAAAAAAAGAAAAGAGUAAAUGCACUUCAAA